AGCGAAAUCAUUAUGCUCUCAGAAGAGGAGCUCAGCUUCCACUUGAUAGAUUGAUUGAGACAAACUCUAACACUGUCCAUGCAAGAUCACAGCACUAUGUCACUUAUUGUGACACUAUCACAGCAAGAAUGGCUUUCAGGCUUAUGGAAUUCCCCCCUGCUGCAGACAGUCAUGCAUCCUGUCAGCACUGUGUACAUGUAUAUAACUGUACAGAG